UUGGAGGGCAAGUCUGGUGCCAGCAGCCGCGGUAAUUCCAGCUCCAAUAGCGAAUAUUAAAGUUGUUGCAGUUAAAAAGCUCGUAGUUGAAUUUCGGGAUCAAUAUAUCGGUCGUGCCUUUGGUACGUACUGGUAUCAUUGAUUUCUCCCUUCUGACGAAUCAUGAUGUCAUUAAUUUGGUGUUAUGAGGAGUUAGGACUGUUACUUUGAAAAAAUUAGAGUGUUUAAAGCAGGCAUUAGCUUGAAUACAUUAGCAUGGAAUAAUGAAAUAGGACGUUUGAUCCUAUUUUGUUGGUUUUUAGGAUCGACGUAAUGAUUAAUAGGGAUAGUUGGGGGCAUUAGUAUUCAAUUGUCAGAGGUGAAAUUCUUGGAUUUAUUGAAGACUAACUACUGCGAAAGCAUUUGCCAAGGAUGUUUUCAUUAAUCAAGAACGAAAGUUAGGGGAUCGAAGACGAUCAGAUACCGUCGUAGUCUUAACCAUAAACUAUGCCGACUAGGGAUCGGAUGAUGUUAAUUUUAUAAUGACUCAUUCGGCGCCUUACGGGAAAC
rnacentral:rRNA from 1 species